rnacentral:rRNA from 1 species
UACAGAGGGUGCGAGCGUUGUUCGGAAUUAUUGGGCGUAAAGGGCGCGUAGGCGGUGCGGUAAGUCACCUGUGAAAUCUCCUGGCUCAACUGGGAGCUUGCAGGCGAAACUGCCGUGCUGGAGUGUGGGAGAGGUGCGUGGAAUUCCUGGUGUAGCGGUGAAAAUGCGCAGAUAUCAGGAGGAACACCGGUGGCGAAGGCGGGUCUCUGGGCAACAACUGACGCUGAGGAGCGAAAGCGUGGGGAGCGAACAGG